rnacentral:piRNA from 1 species
UCCCAGGACUUUUAUCAUGAAGGGGUGUU